rnacentral:rRNA from 1 species
UGGGGAAUAUUGCACAAUGGGCGCAAGCCUGAUGCAGCCAUGCCGCGUGUAUGAAGAAGGCCUUCGGGUUGUAAAGUACUUUCAGCGGGGAGGAAGGCGAUAAGGUUAAUAACCUUGUCGAUUGACGUUACCCGCAGAAGAAGCACCGGCUAACUCCGUGCCAGCAGCCGCGGUAAUACGGAGGGUGCAAGCGUUAAUCGGAAUUACUGGGCGUAAAGGGCACGCAGGCGGUCUGUCAAGUCGGAUGGGAAAUCCCCGGGCUCAACCGGGGAACUGCAUUCGAAACUGGCAGGCUAGAGUCUUGUAGAGGGGGGUAGAAUUCCAGGUGUAGCGGUGAAAUGCGUAGAGAUCUGGAGGAAUACCGGUGGCGAAGGCGGCCCCCUGGACAAAGACUGACGCUCAGGUGCGAAAGCGUGGGGAGCAAACA